ACUCUUGACAUCCAGAGAACUUAGCAGAGAUGCUUUGGUGCCUUCGGGAACUCUGAGACAGGUGCUGCAUGGCUGUCGUCAGCUCGUGUUGUGAAAUGUUGGGUUAAGUCCCGCAACGAGCGCACCCCUUAUCCUUUGUUCCCAGCGGUUAGGCCGGGAACUCAAAGGAGACUGCCAGUGAUAAACUGGAGGAAGGUGGGGAUGACGUCAAGUCAUCAUGGCCCUUACGAGUAGGGCUACCCACGUGCUCCAAUGGCGCAUACAAAGAGAAGCGACCUCGCGAGAGCAAGCGGACCUCAUAAACUGCGUUGUAGUCCGGAUUGGAUUCUGCAACUCGACUCCAUGAAGUCGGAAUCGUUG
rnacentral:rRNA from 1 species